AUCUAACAAAGAACCCAAUCAGAUGAUCAGGAUUCGAUCUCCAAAUCCAAAAAGCGAAGUCAAAAUAUCUAGGGUCAACCACUACAUCAACAUCGCAAAUCAAGUCAGCUUGCGUCCCAAUGGACGAUCUUGGCAAGAAUCGAUUAUUGAGGCUACUUGAAGGCUGGCAAACAAGGGAGAUGGUUGCAAGGCCAAAUGACAAGAGCGAAAAAAAGAAACCAAUAGCAAAACAGAAAAAGAACAAUAAAAAGCGGAGCGAAAAUGGAAGAAGUGGCGAAAGGGAAGAGAAGAAGGGGCGAAAGUAAAGAUUAAAGAAUGGGUAUCGCGUCUAAGCAACUGAGCUUGAUGGUCGAAGGGGAAAAGAAUUAAAAUGAAGUGGAA
rnacentral:misc_RNA from 1 species